UCUUGAUCCGAGCAAUGCGAUCUUGGGAUAGAGAGAUAGUUGAAGCUUCUGUGUUUAUACUUGCUCCAAGGAACACUAUGUGCCUGCAUGGAAUGAGAUUGCUUUUGUCUCUGUUUGUGAGCCACCCAAAUUCUUGCAGAGUAAAGAUCACCUCUUCUGUCUGAUGGACUGCUGUGUGGUAUUCCUGUGCUACUACCAGGAUAUCGCCAAGUAGUGGAAUACUUGGAUCCCUCUCUUUCUCAGGAUUGCAAUAACUGUUAUGAGAACCUUCGAGAACAUUCUUGGUGCCAAGCUUAGACCAAAUGGCAUGCCCUGGAACUGAUAGUGUUUUACCGACAUCCAGAACCUCAGGAACCUCUGAUUGGAUUGAUGUAUCGGGAUCUGGUAGUAUGCAUCUUUCAGAUCUAUCGAUGUUAGGCAGUCGCCCUGAUGAAUGGCCUGUUUUAUGGAUGCAAUAG